UACGUAGGUGGCAAGCGUUGUCCGGAUUUACUGGGCGUAAAGAGCGCGCAGGCGGUCGGAUAAGUCGAAUGUGAAAGCCCCCGGCUCAACUGGGGAGGGUCAUUCGAUACUGUUCGACUCGAAGGCAGGAGAGGGAAGUGGAAUUCCCGGUGUAGUGGUGAAAUGCGUGGAUAUCGGGAGGAACACCAGUGGCGAAGGCGACUUCCUGGCCUGUUCUUGACGCUGAGGCGCGAAAGCUAGGGGAGCAAACGGG
rnacentral:rRNA from 1 species